rnacentral:rRNA from 1 species
GGGGGCAUUAGUAUUCAGUAGUCAGAGGUGAAAUUCUUGGAUUUACUGAAGACUAACUACUGCGAAAGCAUUUGCCAAAGAUGUUUUCAUUAAUCAAGAACGAAAGUUAGGGGAUCGAAGAAGAUUAGAUACCUUCGUAGUCCUAACCAUAAACUAUGCCGACUCGGGAUUGGCGGUCGUUUUUUACCGACUCCGUCAGCACCGUAUGAGAAAUCAAAGUCUUUGGGUUCCGGGGGGAG